AGGACGGGGACCGGACAAGGACUCUGCACAACCUCAAUUUUGUGUGUGCGGUCCGAGAAAGGGUCUAAGUCAUCUGUACUUCUCUAAGCAAGGUGCUGGCCACGGUUCAAUGCUGGCGAGCGACUCGGAGGUCCCUGAAAGGAAGGUGCCAAUCGCGGAGGGUCGAGCUGGUACCCGCCCCACCCAGGCUGCGGCCGCGCGGGGAGGAAGCGCGCACAGGCCGAGUGCAAAAGUUUCCUUUUCUGCUUUCCAGUCAGAGAAGCUUCAACCAACCGAGGGUGGAGAUGCCUGACUUCAAUUGGAAGAGAACCCGGGAGCCAAAGGGGUUGAAAUAAGCGACUUCCCGGAAAAACAAACUAUCAAAAAACCUCUCCCCACCACUAGCCAUGGGCAGCCGAGAUCACCUGUUUAAAGUGCUGGUGGUGGGGGACGCCGCCGUUGGCAAGACGUCUCUGGUCCAGCGCUACUCCCAGGACAGCUUCAGCAAGCACUACAAGUCCACCGUGGGAGUGGAUUUUGCUCUCAAGGUUCUCCAGUGGUCUGACUCAGAGAUGGUGCGGCUGCAGCUCUGGGAUAUUGCAGGGCAGGAGCGUUUCACAUCCAUGACACGACUCUACUAUAGAGAUGCUUCUGCCUGUGUUAUUAUGUUUGACGUCACCAAUGCCACUACUUUCAGCAACAGCCAAAGAUGGAAACAGGAUCUGGACAGCAAGCUCACACUACCCAGUGGGGAGCCAGUGCCCUGCCUGCUCUUGGCCAACAAGGAGGUCAGAAGAGGGUGUCACAUUCAUGGGUCUGGAGUUACAGAACAUUGUGAGCUGACAUGUUGACAUAGUGAUCUGUCCCCUUGGGCAGUGAGCCGGGACCAGAUCGACCAGUUCAGUAAAGAGAAUGGCUUCACAGGUUGGACAGAAACAUCAGUCAAGGAGAACAAAAAUAUUAAUGAGGCCAUGAGAGUCCUCGUUGAAAAGAUGAUGAACAAUUCCAGGGAAGAUGUGAUGUCUUUGUCCACCCAAGGGAACUACAUCAAUCUCCAAGCCAAGCCCUCCUCUGGCUGGACAUGCUGCUAGUUCUGUUUGGCUCCUUUUCUAUCCAGGUCUCUGAGUCAUUCCAAUUCUUCCUGUUGGAUGCCAGCCUGGCAUAAAAGUUCCGUUGAGAAUAUUCAAUAUUCUCUUGCCAAUGGCCUGGAAAGGAGCCCCCCUGUGACUUGGGAAUGGCUGCCUGGGACCCAUGUGCAUCUGCGUUGUUCUUGGGUGUCGUCUGUGACUUACUGAUGUCCCGUGUACUAUAGCUAGUAUUUUCUGUGUGACAGUGAUCACCUCAUUCCUCGACUGUGAGAUGAGUUUAUGAAAAGAAUUAAAAGUGAGCACUUGUGAAUUGUGGGUUGUGAUGCUGGGUACUAAGACUCAGGGUCUUGUACCUGCAGGGCAGGCACAUUGCUCCUGAUGUAUAUCCUAGCCCUAGUUUCUGGGUUUUAAAAUAGUUCUCAGGGCCAACAGGAUGGCUCAGUGAGUAAAGGCACUUGUCUCCAAACCAGAAACCCGAGUUCAGUCCCAAGGGACCACAUGUUAGAAGAACUGACUCACACAAAUUUGUCCUAUGACUUACACACACACACACACACACACACACUCACACACACUCACACACUCACACAUACUCACACACACACACACACACCAUGGUACACUCUUACUCUCAAGCAUACAAAGUAAAUAAGUAAAUAUAAAAAGUAAAAAUAAAAUUAUAAAGAUA